rnacentral:snoRNA from 1 species
GCUGUAUGAUGACAUAAGGCAAAUGUGACUUCACUGGCAGGGCUGCAUCCUCAACCCAUUUCCUUAAACAGGUCUGUAAUCUUGGCAGACAAUGCAGAGUUGUGUGUGUUUGCUGUAAGGGCAGACCAACAGAAAAUUCCAUUUCCUGUUAUCCGUCUCCUCCUAGCUAAGAGGUACUAGGAGUUGAGUAAGGUUAUGGGGACAGGGUGCACUGAUGAUGUCCAAGGUGUGGGUAUUGGGAUGUGGCCCAGGUCAAAGCUGGUGAGAGAUGAGCACAGGUCUUUGGUAAUCUGAUGGCU